AUGGCAAAUGCCUCCCUCCAGUCCUUCCUCCCCCAGCACCACCAUUCUUUCCCCAGCAGCACGACCCACGACGGCUCCCCUCCCGCGCUCCUCAAGCUCACCGCCAACACCACCACCAACGCCAGCAACAGCAUUUCAUUCAAGCUCUUCGCCAGCAGCUCCUCCUCAGUGACCACAACCGCCAACUCGCCGGCUCCGACUCCGGUCGCCGCCGCCGCGGCGACAACCUCGCCGCCCACCCCCUCCCUGGAGCUCCUGGGCCAGCAGCUGGCGGAGGGGGACUACUGGCAGGCUGACGAGACCACCCGGGCCCUCCUCAUCGUCCUCGCGGGCGAGGCCGCGCGCCGCCGAGGGUACGUCUUCUUCUCGGAGGUCCAGUUCAUCUCCGUCGAGGACCUCCGCGCCGUGGACGCGCUCUGGCUGGAGCACAGCGGCGGCAGGUUCGGGUACAGCGUGCAGCGCCGGAUUUGGGAGAAGUCGCUGCGCGAGUUCACCCGAUUCUUCAUCAAGAUUGGCUGGAUGAAGAAGCUGGACACCGAGGUGGAGCAGUUCAACUACAGGGCCUUCCCGGACGAGUUCAUCUGGGAGCUCAAUGACGACACGCCGGAGGGCCACCUGCCCCUCACCAAUGCGCUCAGGGGCACACGGCUCCUGGAGAACAUCUUCACCCACCCCGCCUUCGACUGCGAGGAAGAAGAAGCAGCAGGAGCAGAGGAGGAGGCUGACAAGGGCAGUGCCACUGAUCAGAAUAAUAAGGAUGACAACAAAGGCAGGGGCAGGCCAAAGAGUUUGACAGAUUUCAAGCCUGAUUACUCCUUUUAA
rnacentral:rRNA from 1 species